GCCAUUUUGAAUGUGCAGCUGCAGCGGGCGUGAGUUGGGGGAGGACGGGUUGCCGACUCGCCUACCUAGCGGUCUCUUGAUUGUCGAUAUUUUGUUGGCAUAGGUUUAUGUAGAGACGUAUACAUAUAUAUAGACACACUGUCUAUAAAUCUAGGCCUGUAUCCGGUGUCCGAGGCGAACUCAGUAAGAUGAUGUUAAGAGGAAACCUGAAGCAAGUGCGCAUUGAGAAAAACCCGGCCCGCCUUCGCGCCCUGGAGUCCGCGGUGGGCGAGAGCGAGCCGGCGGCCGCGGCAGCCAUGGCGCUCGCUCUUGCCGGGGAGCCGGCACCGCCCGCGCCCGCGCCUCCAGAGGACCACCCGGACGAGGAGAUGGGGUUCACUAUCGACAUCAAGAGUUUCCUCAAGCCGGGCGAGAAGACGUACACGCAGCGCUGCCGCCUCUUCGUGGGAAAUCUGCCCACCGACAUCACGGAGGAGGACUUCAAGAGGCUCUUCGAACGCUAUGGCGAGCCCAGCGAAGUCUUCAUCAACCGGGACCGUGGCUUCGGCUUCAUCCGCUUGGAAUCCAGAACCCUGGCUGAAAUUGCAAAAGCAGAGCUGGACGGCACCAUUCUCAAGAGCAGACCUCUACGGAUUCGCUUCGCUACACAUGGAGCAGCCUUGACUGUCAAGAACCUUUCUCCAGUUGUUUCCAAUGAGCUGCUAGAGCAAGCAUUUUCUCAGUUUGGUCCAGUAGAGAAAGCUGUUGUGGUUGUGGAUGAUCGCGGUAGAGCUACAGGAAAAGGUUUUGUAGAGUUUGCAGCAAAACCUCCUGCACGAAAGGCUCUGGAAAGAUGUGGUGAUGGGGCAUUCUUGCUAACAACGACCCCUCGUCCAGUCAUUGUGGAACCCAUGGAGCAGUUUGAUGAUGAAGAUGGCUUGCCAGAGAAGCUGAUGCAGAAAACUCAACAAUAUCAUAAGGAAAGAGAACAACCACCACGUUUUGCUCAACCUGGGACAUUUGAAUUUGAGUAUGCAUCUCGAUGGAAGGCUCUUGAUGAAAUGGAAAAGCAGCAGCGUGAGCAGGUUGAUAGAAACAUCAGAGAAGCCAAAGAGAAACUGGAGGCAGAAAUGGAAGCAGCUAGGCAUGAACACCAAUUAAUGCUAAUGAGGCAAGAUCUAAUGAGGCGUCAAGAAGAACUCAGACGCUUGGAAGAACUCAGAAACCAAGAGUUGCAAAAACGGAAGCAAAUACAACUAAGACAUGAAGAGGAGCAUCGGCGGCGUGAGGAAGAAAUGAUCCGACACAGAGAACAGGAGGAACUGAGGCGACAGCAAGAGGGCUUUAAGCCAAACUACAUGGAAAAUGGUGAUAAAAGAAAAUGUGGCUGAAGUUACCCGAAGUUCAGCUUGCAGUGUAAUUCAGAAGAGUUAAGACCAGAAGUACUGGAAUCAUACUUCCUUUCAGAACAGACAAAAGGACGUGGAAUGUACUUUCUGCUACAGCCAUUACAGUCAACUAGAUUUGAGUGCUGCCGCUGGUAAGUUAAUUGAAUAGCCAAGUUAUGUUGUCCUUACCCAAGUAGACAGUGGAAAGGAAUAAUGGCAGAGGCCAUGAUGCGAGUCUGGCCACAGCCAUGCAUCCCAUCUGUGGUGAUCUUAGUCCUGAGAUCACCUAUGUCCUAGGCCACGAACUGAAUCAUGUACUAGUACCAUAUCAUCUGACUUCGUAGCUUUCCAGGGGAAAAGACUAGGAGAUCCGGACAUGACUAGGUCUGUGUCCUCAGUCACAUAAGCUGUGCUGCGUACACUUGAACUGCACUACACAACAUUGCCCUGGGCCUUGACCUGUACUUCUAAAUGUUAUAAUAAACCUUUUGGUAAGGUGCUGCCUGAGAACUGCUUUGUUUUCCAGAGGGAUCAUUGCUCAGGCUUUUUCCCCCGGAUAAUUUGAACUAUUUGACGAUUCCUAUUUGGUUUGUAUCUUAGAGAGAAAGCCCCGCCUUCCUGAUAAACAGCAGGUCACCUUCUCAUGUGUUCCUCUGAGGCUGUUCAUUCACAUCUAUAGUUGGACUCCUCCUACUGUCUUCUUUACUGCUCCUGACCUGCACUGCUGCUAAUUCAAAUCCUCCCUUUUCCCCCAGAAAGCUAUGAAAUCAGAUAUACUACAUGAUUCAAUUUAGUUGAAAAAGUCCAAUCUUGGCCCUCAUUUAGCUAGAAAACCACAAAUAUCUACUGUCUUUUAAAGUUUUGAGACUUGAGAUAUAAAAGGAAACAGACCAACAUCAUAGUGUUUUAUUGACAAAACCAUAGGAAAAGGCAGUUUUAGGAUGUAAAGUAAAAAUGGUUCUCUGAAAUAUCUACACAAACGUGAAUUCUGAAAAGUUUUCAUUAAAAUCGUAUUUCAUACAAUUAUAAACUAAUGAGGAACAAAACAAUUUUCAACUUCUCCAUAACCCAGACUGAGCUUGAUUUAUGCUUGCCAUACAGAAGCAGGAACUCUUCCCAGAGAGGGUGGUGGCUCCCACACAGCUGACAGCCAGGUUUGGCUGUUACCUAAGCCCCAUCUUCCCAGUCGGUGUUCAAAACAAGGGCACAAGGUCUGGCUUUUCAAAAAAAAAAAACAAAAAAAAACCGUAUAGGUUCCAAGAAACUUUUUUUUUUUUUUGAGACAAGGUCUCAUUCUGUCACUCAGGCUGGAGUGCAGUGGCCUUUCACGGCUCACUGCAGCCUUGACCUCCCUGGCUCAAGCAAUCCUUUCACCUCAGCCUCCUGAGUAUCUGGGACUACAGGCUUGUUCCACCCCAUGUUACCCAGGCUGGUCUUGAACUCCUGGACUUAAGCAAUCCUCCAACCUCAGCCUCCAAAGCGCUGGGAUUAUAGGUGUGAGCCACCACGCUCUGCUAAAAGUUCACAUUUAAUACUCUCUUUUAGGUCUCAUAGUGUACUGGUUUACAUUCUUACUACAUCUUAGAUUCUCUUGUUACCCUUUGAAAAGAUGAUAAGUGACUACAGCAUAUUUACAAAGUGACUGCCAUCUCCACCUUUUGUGCUUGGGGAAUGUGUGGCAACUGUCUACUAGAAAAAGAUCAGGCCUCCCAACCCUUUCAAGGGCAGCAAACCCACACUUUAUUUGGUGCUUGGGUAACUUGAAUAUAACAUGGCUCCCUUGCUGUAAGCAAAUGUUUUAGAGCUGAAUUUUUCCUUUUUUUUUUUUUUUUUUUAAGCACAGAAGUUCACCAGGGCUAGUAGAAAAUUUCAAGUUAAGAAAAUAACUCUUGCUGGGUGCGGUGGCUCAUGCCUGUAAUCCAAGCACUUUGGGAGGCCGAGGCGGGCGGAUCACCUGAGGUCAGGAGUUCAAGACCAGCCUGACCAACAUGGAUAAACCCCAUCUCUACUAAAAAUACAAAAUUAGCUGGGUGCCAUGGCGGGUGUCUGUAAUCCCAGCUACUCAGGAGGCUGAGGCAGGAGAAUCACUUGAACCCAGGAGGCAGAGCUUGCAGUGAGCCGAGAUCGCACCAUUGCACUCCAGCCUGGGCAACAAGAGCGAAACUCCGUCUCCAGAAAAAAGAAAGUGAAGUCUUUAAUUUUCUUAAAUAAUCCUCAUAUGUACUAUCCACAUUGUGGAAAAACUGAAAUACGCAGUCUGGACACUGCACUGAGAUUCCGGCAUACUGGCACAGACACAGCUAUGUCGCAUCUUACAGACUACAACAGACAACAGGCUUAACUGCAAGAGGUUUACAGACAAAACUUUACAUAGAUGUGCUAGAAGAAUUCCAAACUGCUGUCAAAGAGAGUAUAGGAAUCGGUCUGAAGAGAACUCCGCCCAGUCCCUUCUGUUUGGUCACUGCAGCUGCACUCUGUAUGCACCUAUUAGCAACUUAACCUGUUGAAAGAAAAGAACGCAGGUGUCAGUACAGAUCCAGAUUUCCCCUUUCUUACAAGAAAAAACCCACAAAUGGCCAAGAUUUGCUUCUAUUAUUUGGCAAUAUUUUCAAGUUGCUUAUCAAUUUACAUUGUUAGAUCAUUGCCAUUUUAAUUCAAGAAAUAAUUCCAAGUGCUUAUAAUUUUAUAUUACUGUUUUAUUAGAGAGACUAUUUUGUCCAGCUUCCUUUCAUACAAGAGAGGUUAGGGACCGGCCUAAAGACAUACAUUUGGCAACUCCAUACCAAGGCCUAGAUCAUGAUUCAGAUGGCUCCAUCCUCUAGAGAGGCAUCUUUCUCAGCUGCAACCUAGUUCUUUUCCUGCCGCAUUAUUAUGUCUAACACAUUGUAAACUGAGAGAGGGUGCACCUAGCAUCACUACCCCAGGGAGUGCCUGUCUCUAGGACAGGUACACCAGGAUUCUUGGAAUUUUUUUUCUAAUGUUGAUAAAGUAAUCUGGAGCAACAACUUGAGUAGUGACACUAAAUGUGAAGAAAGGACUGUCACCUUGGCAGAGGGUGCUUCUGUCAACCUUAUGAAGAGUUUAUUGGGACCUGCAACAGGGCUGAAUGAGUAAACAAAAUGACUGUCC